UACAUGAAGGAAAACUGAAAGAUUGGCACAAAUGCCUGUGAAUUGAAAGGCUAAUGAUAAUGUGUGAGGAGUUGGAUAGAAAAAGCAUGUAGAGGUAAUAGCUAAUGGGAGCUGUACACAACUGCUGAGUCAGAAGAGGACAGAAAACGCAUUCGUUUUAGAGCUGAGUCAAGUCCACAGAUGAACUGGCACAUUGGGUAAAUAUAUCUGACAGUUACUUUUCAUAACUAACUGAUCAUACACACCGAACUGUUCAAUUCCAGAUGACAAUCCAGGGAUUUGUCCUAUAUAAUUGCUUAUAUACAGACUCUGUGUGAACUUUGUGAGGAGA
rnacentral:lncRNA from 1 species